rnacentral:rRNA from 1 species
UACGUAGGGUGCGAGCGUUGUCCGGAAUUACUGGGCGUAAAGAGCUCGUAGGUGGUUUGUCGCGUUGUUCGUGAAAACCGGGGGCUUAACUCUCGGCGUGCGGGCGAUACGGGGCAGACUGGAGUACUGCAGGGGAGACUGGAAUUCCUGGUGUAGCGGUGGAAUGCGCAGAUAUCAGGAGGAACACCGGUGGCGAAGGCGGGUCUCUGGGCAGUAACUGACGCUGAGGAGCGAAAGCGUGGGGAGCGAACAGG